rnacentral:rRNA from 1 species
CAAGUCGAACGAAGGCUCUAGCUUGCUAGAUGUCCUUAGUGGCGGACGGGUGAGUAACGCGGUACGGGAACCAACCGUUGGAGGACGGGGAAUAACUAGUUAGGAAACGAGUGGACUAACUACCGCAUACCGCCCUACGGGGGGAAAAGGCUUCGGCCACUCCAAGACGGUCCCGCGUCUGAUUAGCUAGUUGGUGAGGUAAUGGCUCGCCAAGGCGACGAUCAGUAGCUGGUCUGAGAGGAUGAUCAGCCACACUGGGACUGAGACACGGCCCAGACUCC